rnacentral:rRNA from 1 species
CACGUAGGGGCCAAGCGUUGUCCGGAUUUAUUGGGCGUAAAGAGCUCGUAGGCGGCUCGGUAAGUCAGGUGUGAAACCUCCAGGCUCAACCUGGAGACGCCACCUGAUACUGCUGUGGCUAGAGUCCGGUAGGGGAGCGUGGAAUUCCUGGUGUAGCGGUGAAAUGCGCAGGAUAUCAGGAGGAACACCAGCGGCGAAGGCGGCGCUCUGGGCCGGAACUGACGCUGAGGAGCGAAAGCGUGGGUAGCAAACAGG